rnacentral:rRNA from 1 species
ACGUAGGGGGCAAGCGUUGUCCGGAUUUACUGGGUGUAAAGGGUGCUCAGGCGGGUUUGUAAGUCAGUGGUGAAAUCCCGGAGCUUAACUCCGGAACUGCCAUUGAUACUGCAAGUCUAGAGAUCGGGAGAGGUUGAUGGAAUAUCUGGUGUAGCGGUGAAAUGCGUAGAUAUCAGGUGGAAUACCAAUGGCGAAGGCAGCCACCUGGACGAAUACUGAGGCUAAAGUGCGAAAGUGUGGGGAGCAAACAG